rnacentral:tRNA from 1 species
GUUCUUUAGCUCAGUUGGUCAGAGCUAACGGCUAUAACCGUUCGGUCGCUGGUUCGAGUCCAGCAAGAACAA